UACGUAGGGUGCGAGCGUUGUCCGGAAUUAUUGGGCGUAAAGGGCUCGUAGGCGGUUUGUCGCGUCGGGGAGUGAAAACCUUGGGCUUAACUCAGGGCUUGCUUUCGAUACGGGCAGACUAGAGGUAUGCAGGGGAGAACGGAAUUCCUGGUGUAGCGGUGGAAUGCGCAGAUAUCAGGAGGAACACCGGUGGCGAAGGCGGGUCUCUGGGCCGACAUUGACGCUGAGACGCGAAAGCGUGGGGAGCAAACAGG
rnacentral:rRNA from 1 species